UACAGAGGGGGCAAGCGUUGUUCGGAAUUACUGGGCGUAAAGGGCGCGUAGGCGGCCUUCUAAGUCGAACGUGAAAUCCCCGGGCUCAACCCGGGAACUGCGUCCGAUACUGGAAGGCUUGAAUCCGGGAGAGGGAUGUGGAAUUCCAGGUGUAGCGGUGAAAAUGCGUAGAUAUCUGGAGGAACACCGGUGGCGAAGGCGACAUCCUGGACCGGUAUUGACGCUGAGGCGCGAAAGCCAGGGGAGCAACGGG
rnacentral:rRNA from 1 species